CUCAGGUUAAAUCCUGAUAUGUCAACUAUUAUCACCAGUUCUAUAUUACAAGCCUCUCUUGGCCACUAGAUAUCAAGGUGAAUCAGUCAGCGUUCAAUCAGAGAAACAGAACCACUAUUCAUCAUGGAAUAAAGGAUUUAUUAUAAAACUAGAGUUAAAUCAAUUAUGGGAGGACCUGGACCUGAAGGUCCAGGAAGAAGUUGGAGGAUCAGAGAAGGAGUCACUAUCUAGUGUGCCUGAGACACUAAGCGUGACUGGCCCCCAAAAUGGGACUCAGCAAAGGAGAAGGUCAUGGGAGGUCAGUGGGCAGCUGUGCCUCUGUGGCUCUGCUGGCAAGUGUCUGGGGAGGAAUCUGGAGUUAUCCUUGUCAAGAGGAUCAACAGUCAGGAAGAAGAGCUGGACACAGAAGGGAGGAGAGCAAGGACAAGCUGGAACCCAAUGGCAUUUCUGCAUCUUUCUGUCACUACAUCUAAUGACCUUGAUGACCUUCAGCAAGUAACAGAUGCUGCUUCGCUUCUGCCUUCAAAAUCUCACGCAAAUUCCUCUUUUGGCCAACUCUCAACCAGAACUGUAUAAGAAAGAGAUAUUAGCAGACAACUUAAUGGAGUUAGCAUAGGACAAGCUACCCCACAGGGUGUUUUGUACAAGUUGUUCAGUGGUGUUAGAAUGCCAGAUUUCCGGAGGAGGAAGUUGCCAAGAUGAUCACUAAAAUUCUUUCUGGCCUACGCUGUGCGGCUACACAUUACAGCACCAUCCGACUGGAAUCCUAAGUCCUGGGCAAAGUACCAACCGGCUGUUGGUAUAGGUGUCUGUGCUCAGCUGCGGUUUUGAAGCUCCAAAUUAAUGAUCUAUUGAAUAAUGGAGAUAAGCUCCUGGGAAUUCCUGGAUCUAGCAAACCAUCUGUUCUCCUUUCCUGGUAUACUGAAGACAAUUCAAGCCUACAAGUCAAGGUGACUUUUUAGAUUAAGAACCAGUCAAUACCUAGAAUAAAGGAAUAGGAGUGGAAAAUCAACUUUUUUUCACUCCUAGCUGGAAACAUUUAAACAGAGACCUUGACUUGCUCUUCCUUUUCAUUUAUUCUAAUGCUGCUUUCAUGAAAGUAAUAAGCACCUCUUACCUGAGAAAGAGUAUGAAAGUGGAAACAAAAUUUAUUCAUUCAAUAAACAGUUAUUGUGCAUCCUUUAUGUCUUCUAUGUUAGACAUGGAAAGGAAAGGCCUCAGAAAACAGCUUGGAAGACCAAAGGAGACUGGCACAUAAUGGGCUGCUCUGGACCUUUGUUUGCUAAUUGGCGUAGAUAUGGUUCAACUCAGGGGCUGAGCACCCCAGGGCGUGUACUCUUGCAUAUGUGCAGG
rnacentral:lncRNA from 1 species